rnacentral:miRNA from 1 species
CAGACCCCUUUCUCCCCCCUCUU